rnacentral:sRNA from 12 species
AGAUGUCUUCGUAGAGCCACGAAGACAUUAAAAUAAAGAAAGCUCGCUGAGA